AGAAGGGAGGUGGUCGCCCUCCGUCGUGGUCUGGCGUGUAUUCCGAGCGUUGGUGUCUGGCGGUUUCCGAGCGUUGGUGUCUGGCGGUUUCUGACCGUUGGUGUCUGGCGGUUUCCGACCGUUGGUGUCUGGCACGCGCCACCCUCUCUUGCUUUGGUUGCGCCAUGCCGAUGUACCAGAGACGGGGUUUUGCCAUGUUGACCAGGCUGGUCUUGAACUCCUGACCUCAGGCGAUCCGCCCGCCUUGAACUCCCAAAGUGCUGGAUUACAGGUGUGAGCCACCGUGCCCGGCACCUAAACAACAUAGUUUUGAUAUAGACAAGAAGACAAGAAAAUGAUUUGAGGACAGCUUCAAUCGCGGUGUGAAGAAGAAAGCAGCAAAACGACCACUGAAAACAACGCCGGUGGCAAAAUAUCCAAAGAAAGGGUCCCAAGCGGUACAUCGUCAUAGCCGGAAACAGUCAGAGCCACCAGCCAAUGAUAUUUUCAAUGCUGCGAAAGCUGCCAAAAGUGACAUGCAGGGAUGUCCUUCCUGAGAUCCGUGCUAUCUGCAUUGAGGAAAUUGGGUGUUGGAUGCAAAGCUACAGCACGUCUUUCCUCACCGACAGCUAUUUAAAAUAUAUUGGUUGGACUCUGCAUGAUAAGCACCGAGAAGUCCGCGUGAAGUGCGUGAAGGCUCUGAAAGGGCUGUACGGUAACCGGGACCUGACCGCACGCCUUCACUGGCCGCUUCAAGGACUGGAUGGUUUCCAUGAUCGUGGACAGAGAGUACAGUGUGGCAGUGGAGGCCGUCAGAUUACUGAUACUUAUCCUUAAGAACAUGGAAGGGGUGCUGAUGGACGUGGACUGUGAGAGCGUCUACCCCAUUGUGUAGGCCUCUAAUUGAGGCCUGGCCUCUGCUGUGGGUGAAUUUCUGUACUGGAAACUUUUCUACCCUGAGUGCGAGAUAAGAACGAUGGGUGGAAGAGAGCAACG
rnacentral:lncRNA from 1 species